rnacentral:rRNA from 1 species
GUCCUACGGGGGGCAGCAGUGAGGAAUAUUGGUCAAUGGGCGGAAGCCUGAACCAGCCAAGUCGCGUGAGGGAAUAAGGCCCUACGGGUCGUAAACCUCUUUUGCCGGGGAGCAAGGGCCGGGACGAGUCCCGGUCCGGAGAGUACCCGGAGAAAAAGCAUCGGCUAACUCCGUGCCAGCAGCCGCGGUAAUACGGAGGAUGCGAGCGUUAUCCGGAUUUAUUGGGUUUAAAGGGUGCGUAGGCGGUCCGGAAAGUCAGCGGUAAAAGCCCGGGGCUCAACCCCGGCGAGCCGUUGAAACUGUCG